rnacentral:lncRNA from 1 species
GUCUUUCUGCUGAAGGAGCAGGGUGAGCAGCUCUAAGGCACUUCCCACGCUACUUCGAACCCCCAUGUCAUCAUUUUGUUUGCUUCCAGCAGAGCAUCCUGGCCAGAACAAGCCAAGGAGCCAAGACGAGAGGGACACACGGACAAACAACAGACAGAAGACGUACUGGCCGCUGGACUCCGCUGCCUCCCCCAUCUCCCCGCCAUCUGCGCCCGGAGGAUGAGCCCAGCCUUCAGGGCCAUGGAUGUGGAGCCCCGCGCCAAAGGCGUCCUUCUGGAGCCCUUUGUCCACCAGGUCGGGGGGCACUCAUGCGUGCUCCGCUUCAAUGAGACAACCCUGUGCAAGCCCCUGGUCCCAAGGGAACAUCAGUUCUACGAGACCCUCCCUGCUGAGAUGCGCAAAUUCACUCCCCAGUACAAAGGGGACAUCAGCAGCCACCAGCAUGGUGGGGUCUUUGUUGGGGAGUGGGGGAGUCUUUUGUAAAUCAAGACAAAGCCAAAGGCCCCUUGUUAGCUGGCCAUCCCUGCCCCAUUUUUUCCCCUGGUCCUUUCCCCUGUGGCCACAGGGAAGUGUGGCCUGAAUACCCCACCCCGGCUCCUCUGCACCCAGAGCUGGGGGCCACCUCAGAAGUGUCAUCUCUCUCUGAGCACGCAUUCCCCUGCAGCAGUCGAGGACUGAGCAGAUUGAGUGAUGCUGGGGCAGAGAGGCCUGGGAGGAAAGGUGUUCAGCCAGUCGUUUGUAAGGCGCUCGUCGGCACCUGCUGAAACGCCCCCACCUGACAGCCCCAUCCUCAAAGACUGUCUUAAUUACUCAUGGCAGGUUCUAGAGACUUAAGGGGAAAAGCUGCUUUCAAGGCCACCACAUGUCUGUGCUCCCCAACCAGCUCUAUCUGCCUUGUGUUCAUUUUGUUAUUUUGUGACGUGAGACUGCAAAGACCAAUAAAAACAUAUUUUAUAAGAACAAAA